AUUUGCACUGGAUAGCUCUAUCAAUUCUGUCUAAACUGCUUUCCUUAGAGGUACAACGAGGGAGAAGAAUUCUAAAUACUGGAGGAAGGUUUCCUAGCUUAUAUAUAACUUAUUUAUGCUAACUAGUUUCAAUUCUAAACUGUUAUUCCUAGAGUUCAAGUAAGUGCCAUCUUUUUUUUUCCAAUGUUACUAUACUGGAGGAAACCGAAGAUGGCAAUAUGAUUAGGGGGACUAUUUUGUUGCUCAAGAACCUCAAGAAUAUUGGCUGUUUAUAUUUGUUUUUCUUCUUAGUUUAGUGUAUAUCUGGGGCAUGGAAUGGGAAGUGUUGAGUCAGACAUUUGGUUUUGAUGUGGAAAUAAAAAUAGUUAGCGAAGUCUUUGAAGAAAAUUGUAUGUUCUCGAUCACUCCAGGUUUGUAUAAAGAUUGAAAGAAGUAAGCCCCUUUCUUGUUAGUCCAUGCAGUGUUGCUACCAAAAGAAGAAAAAAAAACAUAGAUACUGAUAACUUUAUCAUAGACGGAUUUUCAUAUUUAUUACUGGGGUGGUGCCAG